rnacentral:rRNA from 1 species
UACGUAGGGCGCAAGCGUUAUCCGGAAUUAUUGGGCGUAAAGAGCUCGUAGGCGGUUUGUCGCGUCUGCCGUGAAAGUCCGGGGCUCAACUCCGGAUCUGCGGUGGGUACGGGCAGACUAGAGUGCGGUAGGGGAGACUGGAAUUCCUGGUGUAGCGGUGAAAUGUGCAGAUAUCAGGAGGAACACCGGUGGCGAAGGCGGGUCUCUGGGCCGAUACUGACGCUGAGGAGCGAAAGCGUGGGGAGCGAACAGG